GACGAACGCUGGCGGCGUGCUUAACACAUGCAAGUCGAGCGGUAAGGCCUUUCGGGGUACACGAGCGGCGAACGGGUGAGUAACACGUGGGUGAUCUGCCCUGCACUUCGGGAUAAGCCUGGGAAACUGGGUCUAAUACCGGAUAUGACCUCCUAUCGCAUGGUGGGUGGUGGAAAGAUUUAUCGGUGCAGGAUGGGCCCGCGGCCUAUCAGCUUGUUGGUGGGGUAAUGGCCUACCAAGGCGACGACGGGUAGCCGACCUGAGAGGGUGACCGGCCACACUGGGACUGAGACACGGCCCAGACUCCUACGAGAGGCAGCAGUGGGGAAUAUUGCACAAUGGGCGAAAGCCUGAUGCAGCGACGCCGCGUGAGGGAUGACGGCCUUCGGGUUGUAAACCUCUUUCAGCAGGGACGAAGCGCAAGUGACGGUACCUGCAGAAGAAGCACCGGCUAACUACGUGCCAGCAGCCGCGGUAAUACGUAGGGUGCAAGCGUUGUCCGGAAUUACUGGGCGUAAAGAGUUCGUAGGCGGUUUGUCGCGUCGUUUGUGAAAACCAGCAGCUCAACUGCUGGCUUGCAGGCGAUACGGGCAGACUUGAGUACUGCAGGGGAGACUGGAAUUCCUGGUGUAGCGGUGAAAUGCGCAGAUAUCAGGAGGAACACCGGUGGCGAAAGGCGGGUCUCUGGGCAGUAACUGACGCUGAGGAACGAAAGCGUGGGUAGCGAACAGGAUUAGAUACCCUGG
rnacentral:rRNA from 1 species